rnacentral:rRNA from 1 species
UACGGGGGGUGCGAGCGUUGCCCGGAAUCACUGGGCGUAAAGGGCGCGUAGGUGGCGUGAUAAGGGUGUGGUGAAAGCCCGGGGCUCAACCCCGGGUCUGCCAUGCCGACUGUCAGGCUGGAGUACUGUAGGGGCAGGCGGAAUUCCGGGUGUAGCGGUGGAAUGCGUAGAGAUCCGGAGGAACACCAACGGCGAAGGCAGCCCGCUGGGACGGUACUGACGCUAAGGCGCGAAAGCGUGGGGAGCGAACAGG